UACGUAGGGGGCGAGCGUUAUCCGGAAUUACUGGGCGUAAAGCGCACGCAGGCGGUUCGCCAAGUUUGGAGUGACAGUUGUCGGCUCAACCGACAAAGGACUUCAAAAACUGGUGAACUUGAGGACGAGAGAGGAACAUGGAACUCCAGGUGUAGUAGUGAAAUGCGUAGAUAUCUGGAAGAACACCAAUGGCGAAGGCAAUGUUCUGGCUCGUUUCGGACGCUCAGGUGCGAAAGCCAGGGGAGCGAACGGG
rnacentral:rRNA from 1 species